rnacentral:rRNA from 1 species
CCUACGGGUCGCACCAGUGGGGAAUAUUGCACAAUGGGCGCAAGCCUGAUGCAGCCAUGCCGCAUGUGUGAAGAAGGCCUUCGGGUUGUAAAGCACUUUCAGCGAGGAGGAAGGUGGUGAACUUAAUACGUUCAUCAAUUGACGUUACCCGCAGAAGAAGCACCGGCUAACUCCGUGCCAGCAGCCGCGGUAAUACGGAGGGUGCAAGCGUUAAUCGGAAUUACUGGGCGUAAAGCGCACGCAGGCGGUCUGUCAAGUCGGAUGUGAAAUCCCCGGGCUCAACCUGGGAACUGCAUUCGAAACUGGCAGGCUAGAGUCUUGUAGAGGGGGGUAGAAUUCCAGGUGUAGCGGUGAAAUGCGUAGAGAUCUGGAGGAAUACCGGUGGCGAAGGCGGCCCCCUGGACAAAGACUGACGCUCAGGUGCGAAAGCGUGGGGAGCAAACAGGAUUAGAUACCCCCGUAGUC